AUUGAACGCUGGCGGCAGGCCUAACACAUGCAAGUCGGACGAGUGGCGGACGGGUGAGUAAUGUCUGGGAAACUGCCUGAUGGCGGGGGAUAACUACUGGAAACGGUAGCUAAUACCGCAUACCAUCGGAUGUGCCCAGAUGGGAUUAGCUAGUAGGUGGGGUAACGGCUCACCUAGGCGACGAUCCCUAGCUGGUCUGAGAGGAUGAUCAGCAACACUGGAACUGAGACACGGCCCAGACUCCUACGGGAGGCAGCAGUGGGGAAUAUUGAACAAUGGGCGCAAGCCUGAUGCAGCCAUGCCGCGUGUAUGAAGAAGGCCUUCGGGUUGUAAAGUACUUUCAGCGGGGAGGCGUUACCCGCAGAAGAAGCACCGGCUAACUCCGUGCCAGCAGCCGCGGUAAUUC
rnacentral:rRNA from 1 species